AAUGAACGCUGGCGGCAUGCCUAACACAUGCAAGUCGAACGAAGGCUUCGGCCUUAGUGGCGCACGGGUGCGUAACGCGUGGGAAUCUGCCCUUGGGUUCGGAAUAACAGUUAGAAAUGACUGCUAAUACCGGAGGAUGUCGUAAGACCAAAGAUUUAUCGUCAAAGGAUGAGCCCGCGUAGGAUUAGCUAGUCGGUGGGGUAAAGGCCCACCAAGGCGACGAUCCUUAGCUGGUCUGAGAGGAUGAUCAGCCACACUGGGACUGAGACACGGCCCAGACUCCUACGGGAGGCAGCAGUAGGGAAUAUUGGACAAUGGGCGAAAGCCUGAUCCAGCAAUGCCGCGUGAGUGAUGAAGGCCUUAGGGUUGUAAAGCUCUUUUACCCGGGAUGAUAAUGACAGUACCGGGAGAAUAAGCUCCGGCUAACUUCGUGCCAGCCGCCGCGGUAG
rnacentral:rRNA from 1 species